rnacentral:lncRNA from 1 species
AUUAGAUUUUAAUUUUAUUAAUUUUUUAUUUUUUUAUAAUGUUUUAAUAUCACUAUUAUUGAUUUUAUUAAUCUUAUGUAUUUAAUUUUUAAUUUUUAAUUUUUUUUAAGAUUUUUUUUAACACAAAAUAAAAUUCAUCUAUUAUUUCAAUAAAGAAGAUAUAUUAUAAAAGACACCAAAGACCUAAUAGAAUAUUAAAAGAAGUAAGUAUUUCUUCUACUUUGUAUCACUUGUGCAUAUUAUGAAACCAUUUUUUUUGUAUAUUUUUAAAUUAUUUUGUAACAUUCUAAAGUUCCAUUUAAUUUCCUUACAUGUUUUAGAACUAAUCAUGUACUUUUUCAUCUAAGAUUUAUGCCAUCUUUUGAGUAAGUGUACCUUAUAUCUUAGAUGUUAAGUUAAUUUUUUCUUAUAAAUUUCUAACUAAUUUUUCUAUACUCUAUUAGCCUUUUUCAUAUUAAAUUUUUAUUAUGAAAG